CAGAGCUGUCGGAAAGACGCUGUCUUUCCGUUGUGGCCGAAACGUCGUGAGAAUUUUUUAUUUUUUAUUUUAUUUCCCUUCUACGUGACUUUACCGAAAGAACCAAGAAUAUCAAUGAACCCAUUUAUAUUGCUGGGUAAAUAGAGGACGGGGGGAUUUAAGAAUCUUUGCCCCAUUGUUCCAACAUGCAUGUUUCAGUGGGAAAGUUAGUGGCCAUGUAGAGCAUACAAUGACGAAGUAUGUAUGUUGAACUUCUUUCGCACCAUACGUAGCCAGCUGUGCUAAUCGGAGGCGCGGGGGAAGGACAACAAACUAAAUACAAAAAGCAGUUAUAAAGAAAUGAGUUUUCAAUCUAGAUUAUUUAAAAGUGCAUCCUAGCUCCAGUGGGUUCCUAACAUCGGAAGGAAGAGCGUUCCAGACUUCUGCAGAAGAGCAACUAAAAGUGCCCGAUGGGGUGACCGUCUUCGUCCGAUGGCUGGCCAAUAGCCGCUUCGAGGAUGACCAAAGUUCGCGUGUUGGUUUACACUCCUUGACGAGAAAAACGAAACUUAUAAUAAUUCCGUUUGUGAUGCGAAUUUGCCCGGAGAAGCAUCACGAUUUUCAGAAGGCUUGCAAUGAGGUUCCUGUAUUGGAGCACUUGUCAGAUUUAUGUAUGAUGUGGAAGGAACCUCUGUUGUUUCUUUUUACAUGGAACCUCUUGAAGUGCAGGACAUCCCGUCCGUUGCCAUUGCAAGGUUUUAAUCGCCACCCAGAUGGACUAUCUUGUCUUGCUUCAGAAUCCACAACACGCUUCAAUUAAUUGCUAAUCGAGAAACUUGCUUUCCCUGCAAAAGUGAUUCUUUAACUGUGGAACCAUGUGGAAUGCACUGGGAGCCAUGUCUGUGUGGAUUUUUUUCAGAUUUUUCUAAAAUUUUCUACGAUAUUUCUCUUAGGAUUUGUCAAAUUUCUACAUUUUUCGUUAUCGUACCAACGUUUCAGAUUGUUCUGAUUAAUAAUCGACUCAAAUCGAGGAAUGGCUCAAACUCUGGCUCUUAUUCGUUCUGUUCGAGGAUAAGGUGUAACUUUCCCUUUCACAAUCCUUCAACCGUUGAUACUCAUACGCGCACGAUUUGAUGCAUGCAAUGUGAAUGUAAUAUUUUGAUUGGAUCGUUACAUGCCUAAACGUCAUAGCGUGGACAUUGAUCUCUUGUUACAAAAAUUGUCUAAAUAUUUUGACCGCGGCGUUUUUUACGAUUACACCGUAUUGACGCAAUGCAGAAAUAAUAUUCCUAAUACAACCUAGGGCCCUUUGUCAAUCCUCUGCAGGGUGAAGGGCUCCCCAUUCCAUUUCUGAUGUGGGAGAUCGACCAUACUUCACCACGCUGGUCAAUGCAAGUUGGUGAAAGGGGGCUGCCCAGGACAGGUUCAGAUUAUCACGUUUCCACUGAUGUUAGCCGUUGCUAGGUAUCGAUUUUACAUUUGUGCGUUGAUAGCACGGUGUGCUAAUCACUACGUCACUACUCCCCAUGAAGAUAUAACAAUGAAAUAUAUACACAUGCGUCUGUAUAUGUGUAUCUAUAUGUAUAUAUUAUUGUGCCUAUGUGUAUAUAUAGUUAGAUAUUUAACUAUAUCGUGCUGUAUAUGUGUCUGUAUACGUAUGUGCAACCCAUAUUCGUAAUAUUUAUUAAAGUCUCCUAAUAAUGGGCUCCCACAGCCACUGUGACGCAAAUAAAGCAUCUAAAGCCAGCCAAUAAUUU